UUGCAUGUGAUGAGUUUGUUAUCCCUGUCUGAAAAAAACGUGUGGAAAACAAUGGUAUCUGAUAUGCAG